rnacentral:ncRNA from 2 species
UUUUUUUCAUGUUAAGAUCAUAUUACUUUGACAAUUCAAUCAGGGAAGUGAGGUGUGAAUCCUCUACAGUCCUAGCUACGGUAAGCUCCAUGCAAGUAUUAUGGGGACAAGUCCGAUACCUGAGAUAUUUGCUUUCUCCUA